rnacentral:rRNA from 1 species
AGAGCGAACGCUGGCGGCAUGCUUAACACAUGCAAGUCUCACGGGCAGCAAUGUCAGUGGCGGACGGGUGAGUAACGCGUAGGUAUCUAUCCAUGGGUGGGGGAUAACGUCGGGAAACUGACGCUAAUACCGCAUGACAUCUGAGGAUCAAAGGCGCGAGUCGCCUGUGGAGGAGCCUGCGUACGAUUAGCUAGUUGGUGGGGUAAAGGCCUACCAAGGCUACGAUCGUUAGCUGGUCUGAGAGGAUGAUCAGCCACACUGGGACUGAGACACGGCCCAGACUCCUACGGAGGCAGCAGUGGGGAAUAUUGGACAAUGGGCGAAAGCCUGAUCCAGCAAUGCCGCGUGUGUGAAGAAGGUCUUCGGAUUGUAAAGCACUUUCGGCGGGGACGAUGAUGACGGUACCCGCAGAAGAAGCCCCGGCUAACUUCGUGCCAGCAGCCGCGGUAA